CGUACACUCCUACGGGAGGCAGCAGUGGGGAAUAUUGCACAAUGGGCGCAAGCCUGAUGCAGCCAUGCCGCGUGUAUGAAGAAGGCCUUCGGGUUGUAAAGUACUUUCAGCGGGGAGGAAGGCGAUAAGGUUAAUAACCUUGUUGAUUGACGUUACCCGCAGAAGAAGCACCGGCUAACUCCGUGCCAGCAGCCGCGGUAAUACGGAGGGUGCAAGCGUUAAUCGGAAUUACUGGGCGUAAAGCGCACGCAGGCGGUCUGUCAAGUCGGAUGUGAAAUCCCCGGGCUCAACCUGGGAACUGCAUUCGAAACUGGCAGGCUAGAGUCUUGUAGAGGGGGGUAGAAUUCCAGGUGUAGCGGUGAAAUGCGUAGAGAUCUGGAGGAAUACCGGUGGCGAAGGCGGCCCCCUGGACAAAGACUGACGCUCAGGUGCGAAAGCGUGGGGAGCAAACAGGAUUAGAUACCCCUGUAGUCCC
rnacentral:rRNA from 1 species